CCGCCACAGCAGCCGCACCGCCGGGCUCCCUCUUGGUUCUUGGGGCCGGCGGUGUCCACACAGCGCAGAGGAGCGUCUGUGUGACACAGGAAGGCAGGCGGGUGAACAUAAGACGCCUCUGAGAUCAGCCCUGGGUCAGUCGUGACGGAAGGAGAGAAGCACAGGCCACAGGAGUGGCUCCAGGGGCAGCAGCGAACUUCAAAGCUCGCUGGCUCAUGUUCCUGGAAGAUAGGACCCUGGCAUCAGCCCGGUUUUCGGUGACAACAAUGGCACGAGCUGCCAGCAGAGGCUUCUCCCAGGUUCCUCUGGGCGAGUGAGGUAGCGGUUCCAGCUCCCCGUCCUGACUGAAUGGGACAUCCAGCCAGGUUUUCCCCCUUUGGAGUGCCGUCUUCCUCCUAAGAAGCUGAGUGAUUCUUCAAAAGGUCAGAGAGAGAACACUCUUGCUGGGUCAGUCAGGUGUCCAGGCCUUCCCUCCUCUGUGCUGCUUGUAGACAACCCCCACCCAGUCUCGACUAGACUUUGGUUAAACUCUGCAGUAACAUGAACUCGGCCUAGACUCUUUCUAAUGACUCCCUCUGCCAGUCCUCAGUGUUGGGGUCCCAGCUCAAGGUUGGAGGUUUCUCUGAGCCCACAGACAUGGAUCUGCCCAUCCCACGACUGCUGUCUGUUUCUGCUCAGAGCUCUGACUUUCUUAGUGUGAACAGUGUCUUCAAAAAGAGCUACGGAGCACAUUUUUGUUUCUUCCUCAUCCUGUUUGUCAGGGGCUACUGGGUGUGUGGUCUGUAACUUCCUACCUUCUCCGCCUUAUCUUACGGUGUUGGGACCUUCUUGGUGAACUCUGGCUUCGCAAGCUGGUUGGCCGCUGUUCAGGGUCUAUUAAACCUAGAAUCUUUCUUCAUCAAAAGAUACAGCAGUUGGCUCUGUAUGGUGGAUUGUGGGUGACUGUUUCCCUCUUGUGCUUUUCUGUUUCUUAUGGGAAACGUAGAUUUCCUUUAUAUCAAAGAGAAAAUAAGAUGUUUUUUUAGAAAAGGGAAAAAUAUGUUAAAAGUACCAGUUUGGUAACAAUCGCUCUUAUUGAUGGGUGUCUCAGUUCUUAGCUUCCUUCCAUCUCUUUAUGAAGUGUGCCCGGAUGUGUACAAAUAGUAUUUAAACCCAUGAAACGAGAUAGAUCAACUUUGUAUAUUAUGAUUUCCUCUAAAACUGUAUGUGUGAGGAGUUCCUGCUGUGGUGCAAAGGGACCGGUGGCAUCUUGGGAGUGCUGGGAUGCAGGUUCGAUCCCCAGCCUGGCACGGUGGGUUAAGGAUCCGGCGUUGCUGCCACUGCAGCUUAGCUCACAAUUGAAGCUUGGAUCAGAUCCCUGGCCCAGACGCUCCAUAUGCCAUGGGGCAGCAAAAAUGGAAAAAAAAAAAAAAGGAAAAAAAAAAAAAA